rnacentral:lncRNA from 1 species
AUUAUAGGGUGUCUCUUUCUCGCUACAGGGGCUGGAUCCUGGAAAGCAUGCAAAGGCAUUGCCUAGCAAUGUGCAGAGGCUAGUAGUUUGGGGGGGAUGAGAACAUCCUUUCCUUUCAGACCAGGAAACACAGAAAAAACAGUUCUGUUAUCUCUUUCUCUGGAGAGCAGAGCUGAAAUGACAUGCCUCCUCUUUCCCCUCAUUGCAGGAUUGCUCUGAUUGUUGUGAUGAUUGCCUCAAUCCAUAAAAAUUUAAAGAAAAAUACCUUUUGAUUAGUCAGCCCAGCCUUGCACAAGAAAACCAGACAUCCCCAGUCAGCCAGGUCAGAAGGAAAUGGAGAGUGUUGCCAGCCUGCAUGACAAAGUACUUGGGUGUUGAGAAAGCCCAGCAUUAAAUCAGCCUCCAGUCUACAGGCUUUCACUCAACUUACAGCACGACCAUCAGCGACUUACAGCAUGACCAUCAGCACAAAGGAUGGCCAGAAACAUGGUGUCCACAGGACCCAGCAGCCUGGAGCCUUCCUCCACCCCGCUCCUCGCUUUGCAGGUUAAUCCAUCCUUUUGGGAGAACUUCCAGACAGGAAAUGUGGAGGCAGAGGAAGUUGUCCCAGUAGAGCACAAAAACAGUUAA